rnacentral:lncRNA from 1 species
UGCAUUCAUUUUAUCAUACUAGCUUUACAAGAAUUGUAACAAAGGAAAUUGCCUAUGCUAGUGUCUUUGAUGCUUUUCCUUGAUUUGAUGAGCUUUGGAUGCUUUGAGCGUGUUCUUAUAUGAAUAAUAUUCAUCCUUCAAGAGCUAAUGAGAUCGUGAAAUAUAAGCAUUAUCUAUUUGACCUGAGACACGUGAUUUGUUAUUAUCAAAGCCAAAAGACCGUGUAACCAUAUAGCUCAACAUCACACUCACUCACAAUAGACGCACACACACACCACAUUUAGUUAUUCACACAUCUCACUCUCUCAAUCCUACUCUCUCAUUCACACAUUCAGUAGCUAAUAGCCCAACACAUUCACACAUCUCUGCUAACUACUACUCGUUUCGUCCAAGCGGCCAAUGCCGUCACCACUUACCUCACUGCCGCAUGCUCUAUGCUACCGUGCACGAGACAUCAACGCUUCAUAUUGUGCCACCACCAACCAACCACCACAAAAUUGACAGCCACACAUGAGGAAGGAUAGUGAGGGGCUUGAGCCGCUACCGUGUGAAUCUGUCGUCGCCGUUGCUACUGCUGUGUGAUACAUAUAAGAGUAAUUUUGGUUGAUAUUUCAACCUUAGAUUUGUUUUUUUUCCUAGAUUUAAAAACUUAAUCCCAGAUUUUUUUUU